rnacentral:rRNA from 1 species
CGUAAAGCGCGUGCAGGUGGUUUGGUACGUCGGACGUGAAAGCUCCUGGCUCAACUGGGAGAAGCCGUACGAAACUACCAGACUAGAGGGCAGUAGAGGGAGGUGGAAUUCCGGGUGUAGCGGUGAAAUGCGUAGAUAUCCGGAGGAACACCAGUGGCGAAAGCGGCCUCCUGGGCUGUCCCUGACACUGAGACGCGAAAGCUAGGGUAGCGAACGGGAUUAGAAACCCCGGUAGUCCUAGCUGUAAACGAUGCAGACUUGGUGUUGGCAGUUUAAAUACUGUCGGUGCCGGAGCUAACGCGGUAAGUCUGCCGCCUGGGGACUACGGCCGCAAGGCUAAAACUCAAAGGAAUUGACGGGGCCCCGCACAAGCAGCGGAGCGUGUGGUUUAAUUCGAGGCUACGCGAAGAACCUUACCUGGGUUUGACAUGCACGUAGUAGGGAUCUGAAAAGUGACCGACCCUUCGGGGAGCGUGUACAGGUGCUGCAUGGCUGUCGUCAGCUCGUGUCGUGAGAUGUCCGGUUAAGUCCGGUAACGAGCGCAACCCUUGUCCUGUGUUAUACGUGUCACAGGAGACUGCCGGUAUAAAGCCGGGGGAAGGUGGGGAUGACGUCAAGUCAGCAUGGCCUUUAUAUCCAGGGCUACACACACGCUACAAUGGCUGGUACAGUGGGUCGCAAAGCCGCGAGGCGGAGCCAAUCCUCAAAGCCAGCCUCAGUUC